CCUACGGGAGGCAGCAGUGAGGAAUAUUGGUCAAUGGGCGGAAGCCUGAACCAGCCAAGUAGCGUGCAGGAUGACGGCCCUACGGGUUGUAAACUGCUUUUAUACGGGAAUAACGCGCCUUACGUGUAGGGCUUUGCAUGUACCGUAUGAAUAAGGACCGGCUAAUUCCGUGCCAGCAGCCGCGGUAAUCCGGAAGGUCCGGGCGUUAUCCGGAUUUAUUGGGGUUAAAGGGAGCGUGGGCCGCAUGUGAAGCGGGAUGUGAAAUGUCCGGGCUCAACCCGGGCCUUGCAGCGUGAACUGGCGUGCUGGAGUCCGCGGAAAGUAGGCGGAAUUCGUAGUGUAGCGGUGAAAUGCUUAGAUAUGACGAAGAACCCCGAUUGCGAAGGCAGCUUGCUGCAGCGGAACUGACGCUGAUGCUCGAAAGCGCGGGUAUCGAACAGGAUUAGAUACCCGUGUAGUC
rnacentral:rRNA from 1 species